rnacentral:lncRNA from 1 species
CCAGGAUCUUAAAUACUAGACACCUCUAAUAGUCUAAUAGAGUGUUGAUGGCAUUGGCAACACAGGGGUUGAGAGAUAACCUCAAUUUAAGUUAUUUUGUGGCAUCAGAACACAGUAGUUCCAUUUAUGCUUUCUGUAAAACUAUCCUUCGUGUCUUCCAGCUCUUGGCACUGCUGACUUUGUAUCUGUGGGAAGUAUUCGGAUCAACAGCAGUAUUGUUGACGAUGGAAAAAACUCAGAGAGACACACACACAUGUAGCACAGGUUAGCUUCAGGCUUACAUGUUACUGAGGAUUGCUUUAACUUAUGAGCUCCCUGGCCCGGCCUCCCCAGGGCUGGAUUUGUAAGAAUGGACAGCCAAGCCCGGUUCAUGUGUGCUGAGGACCAAUCCCAGGGCUCUAUGCAUGCUGGGUGCUGAGGACAGAACACAUGGACUCACACAUCACACAUGGGUAAGCUCUCCCAUCUACCACCGAGCUUCAGGUUUGUCAGCCAUCUCUCCAGCGCACACAUUAAGCAUUUGAAAAUAGACACUGCUGA